GCGUCGUUUGCGACGCCCAACACAAAAAACAAGCGGUGAGUGCUUUGGGGUGGGGUGACUGCGUACCUUUUGUAUAAUGGGUCAGCGACUUAUAUUCUGUAGCAAGGUUAACCGUAUAGGGGAGCCGUAGGGAAACCGAGUCUUAACCGGGCGUUAAGUUGCAGGGUAUAGACCCGAAACCCGGUGAUCUAGCCAUGGGCAGGUUGAAGGUUGGGUAACACUAACUGGAGGACCGAACCGACUACUGUUGAAAAA
rnacentral:rRNA from 1 species